rnacentral:rRNA from 1 species
CCCUUAGACGUUCUGGGCCGCACGCGCGCUACACUGACACAGGCAACGAGCUUUCCUUUACCGAAAGGUAUGGGUAAUCUUUUGAAACUGUGUCGUGCUGGGGAUAGAUCCUUGCAAUGUUUGAUCUUAAACGAGGAAUUCCUAGUAAGCGCGAGUCAUCAACUCGCGUUGAUUACGUCCCUGCCCUUUGUACACACCGCCCGUCGCUACUACCGAUUGAAUGGCUUAGUGAGGCCUCAGGAUCCGCGCUUAAUGUGUGGAGAAUUUGGACAAACUACGUCAUUUAGAGGAAGUAAAAGUCGUAACA